CGGCAAGAGCUCAAAUUUGAAAGCUGGCUCCUUCGGGGUCCGCAUUGUAAUUUGUAGAGGAUACUUUUGAUGCGGUGCCUUCCGAGUUCCCUGGAACGGGACGCCAUAGAGGGUGAGAGCCCCGUCUGGUUGGAUGCCAAAUCUCUGUAAAGUUCCUUCAAC
rnacentral:rRNA from 1 species